AAAUUGAAGAGUUUGAUCAUGGCUCAGAUUGAACGCUGGCGGCAGGCCUAACACAUGCAAGUCGAACGGUAGCACAGAGAGCUUGCUCUCGGGUGACGAGUGGCGGACGGGUGAGUAAUGUCUGGGAAACUGCCUGAUGGAGGGGGAUAACUACUGGAAACGGUGGCUAAUACCGCAUAACGUCGCAAGACCAAAGAGGGGGACCUUCGGGCCUCUUGCCAUCAGAUGUGCCCAGAUGGGAUUAGCUAGUUGGUGAGGUAACGGCUCACCAAGGCGACGAUCCCUAGCUGGUCUGAGAGGAUGACCAGCCACACUGGAACUGAGACACGGUCCAGACUCCUACGGGAGGCAGCAGUGGGGAAUAUUGCACAAUGGGCGCAAGCCUGAUGCAGCCAUGCCGCGUGUAUGAAGAAGGCCUUCGGGUUGUAAAGUACUUUCAGCGGGGAGGAAGGUGUUGUGGUUAAUAACCACAGCAAUUGACGUUACCCGCAGAAGAAGCACCGGCUAACUCCGUGCCAGCAGCCGCGGUAAUACGGAGGGUGCAAGCGUUAAUCGGAAUUACUGGGCGUAAAGCGCACGCAGGCGGUCUGUCAAGUCGGAUGUGAAAUCCCCGGGCUCAACCUGGGAACUGCAUUCGAAACUGGCAGGCUUGAGUCUUGUAGAGGGGGGUAGAAUUCCAGGUGUAGCGGUGAAAUGCGUAGAGAUCUGGAGGAAUACCGGUGGCGAAGGCGACCCCCUGGACAAAGACUGACGCUCAGGUGCGAAAGCGUGGGGAGCAAACAGGAUUAGAUACCCUGGUAGUCCACGCCGUAAACGAUGUCUACUUGGAGGUUGUGCCCUUGAGGCGUGGCUUCCGGAGCUAACGCGUUAAGUAGACCGCCUGGGGAGUACGGCCGCAAGGUUAAAACUCAAAUGAAUUGACGGGGGCCCGCACAAGCGGUGGAGCAUGUGGUUUAAUUCGAUGCAACGCGAAGAACCUUACCUGGUCUUGACAUCCACAGAACUUUCCAGAGAUGGAUUGGUGCCUUCGGGAACUGUGAGACAGGUGCUGCAUGGCUGUCGUCAGCUCGUGUUGUGAAAUGUUGGGUUAAGUCCCGCAACGAGCGCAACCCUUAUCCUUUGUUGCCAG
rnacentral:rRNA from 1 species